GACGUAGGUGGCGAACGUUAUCCGGAAUUAUUGGGCGUAAAGGAUGCGUAGGUGGUGUAGUAAGUUAUCGGUGGCAAAUCGAGGCUCAACCUCGUGGAAGUCGGUAAUACUGCUAUGCUAGAGGAUAGGAGAGGUUAACGGAACUCCCUGUGGAGCGGUGAAAUGCGUAGAUAUAGGGAAGAACACCAAUCAGGCGAAGGCAGUUAACUAUUCUACUCCUGACAUUGAGGCAUGAAAGCGUGGGGAGCAAAACGG
rnacentral:rRNA from 1 species